rfam:Burkholderiales bacterium RIFCSPLOWO2_12_FTLL_64_99 rifcsplowo2_12_scaffold_18, whole genome shotgun sequence.
GGGUCGGUAGCUCAGUCGGUAGAGCAGCGGACUUUUAAUCCGUUGGUCGAGGGUUCGAGUCCCUCCCGACCCA